UGAAAACUGUCCCAACUGCGCCCCCCCAGUUAGCGGCGGACGGGUGAGUAACACGUGGGUAACCUGCCCAUAAGACUGGGAUAACUCCGGGAAACCGGGGCUAAUACCGGAUAACAUUUUGAACCGCAUGGUUCGAAAUUGAAAGGCGGCUUCGGCUGUCACUUAUGGAUGGACCCGCGUCGCAUUAGCUAGUUGGUGAGGUAACGGCUCACCAAGGCAACGAUGCGUAGCCGACCUGAGAGGGUGAUCGGCCACACUGGGACUGAGACACGGCCCAGACUCCUACGGGAGGCAGCAGUAGGGAAUCUUCCGCAAUGGACGAAAGUCUGACGGAGCAACGCCGCGUGAGUGAUGAAGGCUUUCGGGUCGUAAAACUCUGUUGUUAGGGAAGAACAAGUGCUAGUUGAAUAAGCUGGCACCUUGACGGUACCUAACCAGAAAGCCGCGGCUGACUACGUGCCAGCAGCCGCGGUAAUACGUAGGUGGCAAGCGUUAUCCGGAAUUAUUGGGCGUAAAGCGCGCGCAGGUGGUUUCUUAAGUCUGAUGUGAAAAGCCCACGGGCUCAACCGUGGAGGGUCAUUGAAAACUGGGAGACUUGGAGUGCAGAAAGAGGAAAAGUGGAAUUCCAUGUGUAGCGGUGAAAAUGCGUAAAGAUAUGAAGGAACACCAGUGGCGAAAG
rnacentral:rRNA from 1 species